AUUCAAUUAUUGAUAUUUUUAUAGUAAUGAACAGAACAUUUGGUACAUCUAAUGAAAACCGUGUAUAUAUGGAAACUUUACUUUUCCUACUUGUGAAUAUAUAGGUUUCACCAGCACAUCAAUUCAGACCAAACAAAAACAUAACCCUGCUAGCAAUCGGGUAAUAAAUGUUUGAAAUAAAAACAACAUUAUUUUUACGGUUAACGACCUCCAUGGCGCAGUGGUAUGCGCGGUGGAUUUUCAAGACGGAGGUCCUAGGUCCCGAUCCCCAGCUGAGCCGAUUGAGGUUUUCUUAAUUGGUCCAGGUUUGGCUGGUGGGAGGCUUUGGCCGUGGCUAGUUACCACCCUACCCACAAAGACAUACCGCCAUGCGAUUUAGCGUUUCGGUACGAUGUCGUGUAGAAAUCGAAAGGGGUGUGGAUUUUCAUCCUCCUCCUUUCAAGUUAGCCCGCUUCCAACUUAGAUUGCAUCAUCACUUACCAUCAGGUGAGAUUGUAAUCAAGGUCAAACUUGUAAAGAAUAAAAAAAAAGCAUUUAAGCAUUUUUCAACUGAACCUAUAGAAAAAAAUAAUAAAGGUUUUUCUUCUUACAUCAAAGACAAUUAUUGAUUCAAUAAAGUACUACAAAUGAUAAUAUAUUUUACAAUACUUUAAUUUUUAACGAUAUUUUAUAAACGGAAUGAUGUAAGGAUCUAUCUAUUAUCGUCUUAACUCUAUGGUGAGAUGCCAUAAGGGUUUUGUGGUCCUAUAAAAAUAACUUGUGAGUUACAUAAACGCUUACAAGAUAACCAGCUGUCCAUCCACGAUGACCCCACUUUUGAUCGUUUUGCUGGCAACUCUUGCAGUGGCACUGGGGCUGCCUGUACCCGGGUACCAUGUCUCGGUACACUCAUCACCGAUAUACCAAUACGAGUACCCGGUCCAUUCAGUGCACAAGAUCCACAGCGCGCCAAUAAUUCAUACCCCAGUACACAGUGCACCACUGUACCACACACCUAUACACAGUGCGCCAUUAUACCACACGCCUGUGCACACAAAAAUAGUACACCCUAUACAUAGUGCGCCACUGAUACAUACACCUGUGCAUAGCAAGAUUAUACACCCUGUGCAUAGCGUGCCGAUUGUGCACCACCCUGUGCAAUAUGCACCAAUUUAUAAAUAUAAGCUCAAGUCCCAUUAUCAUUUGUAUUAAAAUUGAAUAAAUUAUUUUAAGU